rnacentral:rRNA from 1 species
GAUGAACGCUAGCGGCAGGCCUAAUACAUGCAAGUCGGACGGGAUUGAGGAGCUUGCUUCUCAUGAGAGUGGCGCACGGGUGCGUAACACGUAUGUAACCUACCUUGUUCAGGGGGAUAGCCUCUCGAAAGAGAGAUUAAGACCGCAUAACGUAGUGAUGUGGCAUCAUAUUACUACCAAAUAUUUAUAGGAACAAGAUGGGCAUGCGGAACAUUAGCUAGUUGGUAAGGUAACGGCUUACCAAGGCUACGAUGUUUAGGGGAUCUGAGAGGAUUACCCCCCACACUGGUACUGAGACACGGACCAGACUCCUACGGGAGGCAGCAGUAAGGAAUAUGGUCAAUGGACGGAAGUCUGAACCAGCCAUGCCGCGUGCAGGAAGACGGCCCUACGGGUUGUAAACUGCUUUUAUACGGGAAUAAACCUACUUACGUGUAAGUAGCUGAAUGUACUGUAAGAAUAAGGAUCGGCUAACUCCGUGCCAGCCGCCGCAGUAAGAC